rnacentral:rRNA from 1 species
AUGAGUAAUGCCACUUUCUCUAUCUGUUCGUGGAAUGUACGUUGACUGGGAGACGAUGCCAAAUGCUCUGACGUUCUCUCUGAACUGAUCUUGAUCAAGCCUCAUAUUGCAUUAUUACAAGAGUCUAAACUCGACGCAUUCUCGGACUCGAAGUUACAAUCCUUUAUGCCCAUGCAGUUUGACCAAGUUUUCUCCCUACCUGCCAUCGGCACGACGGGUGGCACCAUCUCCGCCGUCAAUUCUGCCUCGUUCCAAGUAAUCUCCUUCAACCACCUCACAUUCUCGUCAACCCCGAUCUUGCGAUCUACGAUAACUGACCGUAACAUAGCGAUCACCAAUAUAUAUGCCCCCUCCUCCCGCACCCUCAAACAAUCCUUCCUCAAUGAGUUACUUGCUAUCUCACAACACGACGAAUCACCUUGGCUACUUGUGGGCGAUUUUAACCUACUUCGAUACCCCUCUAACAAAAAUAAUGACGUUUUUAGACAAUCUGAGGCCAAUGCAUUUAACCAAACCCUUGAUGAGCUCGCCCUUAUUGAACUGCCUCUGCUUGACCGUCAAUAUACUUGGUCCAACAAUAGAGCAACACCCACCCUAGAACAUAUUGGUCGUGCAUUCUUUAACUUAGCAUGGGCCGAUGCCUUCCCCAACUCCUCCCUCUCCUCCCUCACGCGUAUCACAUCAUAUCAUGUACCCCUCCUCAUACACGUCACCACAACGAUACCGCGCUCCAAUUUUUUCAAAUUUGAACCUGGUUGGGCCUCUCUGUGGACAUGCGCUGAAAUUAUCAGCAGUAUUUAG